rnacentral:miRNA from 1 species
UCCUCCUCGUGGUGAGCCUGGGCU